rnacentral:rRNA from 1 species
GACGGACGCUGGCGGCGUGCUUAACACAUGCAAGUGGAGCGACGAACCAGGCUUCGGCCUGGGGCAGAGCCGCGAACGGGUGAGUAACACGUGGGUAACGUGCCCCAAUGAUCGGGACAACCCGGGGAAACCCGGGCUAAUACCGAAUGUGCUCCCCUCACACCAGUGAGGGGUGGAAAGGAAGCUUCGGCCUCCGCAUUGGGAUCGGCCCGCGGCCCAUUAGCUUGUUGGUGAGGUAACGGCUCACCAAGGCUGCGAUGGGUAGCUGGUCUGAGAGGACGAUCAGCCACACUGGGACUGAGACACGGCCCAGACUCCUACGGGAGGCAGCAGUGGGGAAUAUUGCGCAAUGGGCGAAAGGCUGACGCAGCGACACCGCGUGAAGGAUGAAGGCUUUAGGGUCGUAAACUUCUGUUAAGGGGGAAGAAAGACUUAGUCCUAAUACGACUAGGGAAUGACGGUACCACUAGAGAAAGCACCGGCUAACUUCGUGCCAGCAGCCGCCGUAAGAC